rnacentral:lncRNA from 1 species
CAAGGAAGCAACGCCCCCGAUAAUUGCCUUCAAAAAUAAUGGUAUGAAAUUGGAGGUAAAAAAUAGAUAAGGUGAGUUGAAAAAGGUAAAAAAGAAAAGAGAAGAGAUCUGAAUCAGGUUCGUAUUUCCAUUUUUGCAGAAGUUUGACAACUCCUAAAAAUGUAGAACGCGGUGUUGCCAGCCUUUCGUGCGCAGUACGCAGUUACGCAUUUCUGGAAGUACAUCCUUUGGGCAAUAUUGCGAUUGCGAUGUGUGUCAUUCGAAUUUGCACAAGUUCUUACUCAUCUGAAUGCUAGUAGAGUGGUUAAUUCUGCGGUUUUCAUCCCUAUAACUGUCAAUUAUCACAUUGCGUAGUUACCCGGCAUCUUUAUUUUGAUUGGAAACCCAGACCGGGGUCGGCCAUUUUGGACAAGCCGACAAGGGCUCAUCAAGAAAGCUCAUGCACCGUAGUUUGUGAAGCCGCUAACAACUUACCGGCCCUAUAAUCUGUAUCUCACUGGAAUUUCGUCAUAAAUUUAUCUGCAAUCUUUUCUAACUUGACAAUCAAAUGGACAACCGUGGCCGAGGUAUGAGAGGCAGAGGUGGCCCCCCAGGCAGGGGUGGUCCUCCUGGCAGAGGACGUGGUGGUGGACCCUUUCCCAUUGGCGGUAUUGAAGGAAGAGGAGGCCGUGGAGGUGGACCAAUGCGUGGUGGCCCCAACAUGAUGCGACCACCCCUUCCACGAGGUGGACUACCUCCUCGAGGUAUGCAAAGAGGAAUGGGACCUGGUGGAAUGCAACGAGGAAUGGGUGGUGGUCAUCCCAGAGGUGGACCUGGUGGGGACAGAGGAGGCUUCUCAGGUGGGCCACCUGGAGGUGACCGAGGAGGCUUUCAGCCAAGAGGCCGUGGUGGACCGAUGAGAGGUCGCGGUGACUUUGGAAUGCGAGGUGAUGCCCGCGGUGGUGGCUUCAAAGGUCGUGGAGGCCGAGGUGGCCCUGAUGGCCCCCGUGGUGGCAUGGGCGGAGGUCGUGGUGGCAUGAUGCCUCCAGGACCUGGCCCCAUGAUGGGAGGACCCCGAGGAGGUGGAAUGGGUGGCGGCGGUGGCGGCUAUGCUGCUCCUUCAGGCCCACCGGGACGGCCAGGCGGCAACAUCAAGCGUGGUGCUCCACUUCAGGAUGGACCUGCGAAACGAGGUCGCUAUGACAGUGGAAUGAUGGGUUCGUCUAAUGGUUACAGUGCACCUGCUCCGGCUCCUUCGUAAGUUAAAAUAAAAUUUAAAUUUUUCACCAAUCUUGAUAGAUUGGUGAUAAUUAGUGGUGAUAGUGGAAUUAUUGGAUUGUGGUGAUAAUUUCAGUAGCAAAAUUUCAUUGAUGCCCAAAAAAUUGCAUUGGGUUAAGGCCUGAGACACUCUUAACUGAGAAUGACUGUAUAAGCACCGGUGCAGGCAGAAAUAAAAUAGAUUGGGAAUGGUUCAUAAUGCACAAAGUGAGUGGAUAACUGUCCCCCUAUUUCACUAUCCAUGCAUGGCAAAGGAGGAAUACAUCUGUUACGUCAUGAUUUGCAGAUGCUCUCUUAUCUAUGUGUUCUUCAGCGGAAGUUAUUCGUAACUAAAGUGUUUUUUUUUUUUUUUUUUUUUUUCUCCUCAAUUCCUGAAUUGUGCACUGGCACUAAAUAUACUGAAAAAGAGGAGGAAGUGCAAAUUUUCAUCGGCUGCAUAUCAUUAU